GGGGAAUAUUGGACAAUGGGGGGAACCCUGAUCCAGCCAUGCCGCGUGUGUGAAGAAGGCCUUAUGGUUGUAAAGCACUUUAAGCGAGGAGGAGGCUCUUUUGGUUAAUACCCAAGAUGAGUGGACGUUACUCGCAGAAUAAGCACCGGCUAACUCUGUGCCAGCAGCCGCGGUAAUACAGAGGGUGCGAGCGUUAAUCGGAUUUACUGGGCGUAAAGCGUGCGUAGGCGGCUUUUUAAGUCGGAUGUGAAAUCCCCGAGCUUAACUUGGGAAUUGCAUUCGAUACUGGGUGUCUAGAGUGUAGGAGAGGAAAGUGGAAUUCCUAGUGUAGCGGUGAAAUGCGUAGAGAUUAGGAAGAACACCAGUGGCGAAGGCGACUUUCUGGACUAUAACUGACGCUGAGAUACGAAAGCGUGGGGAGCAAACA
rnacentral:rRNA from 1 species